UUCCGUUUGAUCCUGCCGGAGGUUACUGCUAUCGAGGUUCGACUAAGCCAUGCGAGUCGAAUGUAGCAAUACAUGGCGUACUGCUCAGUAACACGUGGACAACCUACCCUUAGGUCGGGGAUAAACCCGGGAAACUGGGUAUAAUACCCGAUAGUCCUCGAAUGCUGGAAUGCAUCGAGGUCUAAAGCUCCGGCGCCUAAGGAUGGGUCUGCGGCCUAUCAGGUAGUAGUGGGUGUAGCGUACCUACUAGCCUACGACGGGUACGGGUUGUGAGAGCAAGAGCCCGGAGAUGGAUUCUGAGACACGAAUCCGGGCCCUACGGGGUGCAGCAGGCGCGAAAACUUUACAAUGCUGGCAACAGCGAUAAGGGGACCUCGAGUGCCAGGUUACAAAUCUGGCUGUCGUGAUGCCUAAAAAGCAUUGCAUAGCAAGGGCCGGGCAAGACCGGUGCCAGCCGCCGCGGUAACACCGGCGGCUCGAGUGGUAACCGUUAUUAUUGGGUCUAAAGGGUCUGUAGCCGGCCGGAUAAGUCUCUUGGGAAAUCUGGCAGCUUAACUGUCAGGCUUUCAGGAGAUACUGUCUGGCUCGAGGCCGGGAGAGGUGAGAGGUACUCAGGGGUAGGGGGAAAUCUCGUAAACUGAAGGACCACCAG
rnacentral:rRNA from 1 species